GCUCAAUGAUUUUUUAAAUUGCUGUGGUAUUUUGACUAUACGAAGGUAUUGAAAUAAGGCUUUAAAUGAGUGCUAAGAGAAUGGUUUAACAAUUAUAAGCUUUCUUUGAUUAAAUAAUUAAAUUUAAUUUUUUUGUGAAGAAGCAAAAAUAUAAAUUAGGGACAAGAAGACCCUAUGAAUUUAUCUUAAAUAUUAUAAUUUAAUUAAAUUAUAAUAUUUAAGUUGAUUGGGGUGAUCUGAAAAGAAUACAUAUCUUUUUAAAAGAGUUAAAUUGUUCCGUUUUUAGCGAUUUUAUGAAUAAAAUACUCUAGGGAUAACAGGUAAUAAUUUUGGAUAGUUCAUAUAGAUAAAAUAGUUUGCGACCUCGAUGUUGGAUUAGGAUUCUUUUUUAAUGCAGAAAUUAAAAAAAGAAGUUUGUUCAACUUUUAAAUUCCUACUUGAUCUGAGUUCAGACCGG
rnacentral:rRNA from 1 species